rnacentral:rRNA from 4 species
UCUUUGAAGGGUCGUUCGAGACCAGGACGUUGAUAGGUCAGGUGUGGAAGUGCAGUAAUGCAUUAAGCUAACUGAUACUAAUUGCCCGUACGGCUUGUCCCUAUAACCUUAGCAGGUUAU